ensembl:lncRNA
UUCAUGAUGGCAAUUUUAUGUUCUAACUUUCUGAAGAUACAAUUUUUCUUUUUUUAAAAAAAUUUUUUUUCUUUUUUUUGAAGAUUGGCACCUGAGCUAACACUUGUUGCCAAUCUUCUUUUUUUAUUUUCUUCUUCUUCUUCUCCCUGAAGCCCCCAAGCACAUAGUUGCAUAUUAAAGUUGUAGGGCCUUCUGGUUGUGCUGUGUGGGACGAGCAGUGCCAUGUCUGUGCCCAGGAGCUGAACCUGUGAAACCCUGUGCCGCCAAAGUGGAGCGCACAAAUUUAACCACUCAGCCAUGGGGCUGGCCCCCAAAGAUACAAUUUUUUUUUAAAGAUUUCUUUUGUUUCUUCUUUCAAGUUCUUUCAUACCCCCCAUAACAUUAGAGCCGUCUCUCAAAAGUCUGGUGAUGCUAGGCCAUCCAUUCAUACUUAAUAAUGAGGGACUAAAAAGCUGACAGGAAGCCCUGUGCACCCGGAUGGGGCUCACUCUAGAGUGAUAAGGCAGGCCCCCAGCUAGCUCACUGGGGGAACCGCAAACAUUGGUAUCUUUAAGGCUUUGCUGUAGGGCUGGUCAGUAUUUCCAGAGAGAAGUCGUCCAAUCUCCUGUCAGAAUUCUGGGAAUCACACGGGGAAGGGGAUUAUGAGCUCUCACUAUUCCGACUUCUUUCAGAUCUCCUUCUUGGUUGUGUCUGGCCUCCCCGAACCUAGAAUCUCUCUGAUUCAGCUACUAAAGAGAACAUCUGCAGUCUUCUGCUGGAUGGGGGAGGGAAUAUAGGACUCUAAUCUGCUUCCUAAAUCAAACAUUUAACCUAUCUAACACCACGCCUUCAGGGGAACUAGGCAUGUUCAACUUCUGAGCCUCUGUAGGGUUCUGUGGCAGAAGCUUCUUGGCUUCCCCUAUGUGGGCACUCAGCUUUUGGUUUCUCAAGACUUAGAUACAGUUGCUUUCCACCUUUCCAAAUUUUGUUUUUCAUCUGCUAUUGGCUCCUCUUUUGUUCCCUUUGACUUUGGAGUUUCAUGCCUUAAGAAAAUCCCUGUGUUGUUUUGUGAGGGAGGGGAAAUAAAUGCAUGUAUUCAAUCUGCAGUGUUUCACUAGAAUACAUAUAUUCAUUAUGUCAGAGUUCUUAAAAUUAGUAUUUAAAAUGGGGAAUGGAAAGGCACCUGGGAUGAUUUGAGUAAGACCAAUUUUGGUCACUGCGUAGCAGUGCCCAUCUUCCAUCAGGUGACUUCAUGUCUCCCUGCCCAACCCAGGAAACAGAACCAAAGAAAAAUUAGGACAGGGACCAGCCCUGUAGUGUGGUGGUUAAGUUCAUGAGCUCUGCUUUGGCAGCCUGGGGUUCACUGGUUCAGGUCCCAGGCACAGACCUAUGCACCACUCAUCAAGCUAUGCUGUGGUGGUGUCCCACAUACAAAAUCGAGGAGGACUGGCACAGAUGUUAACUCAGUGACAAUCUUCCUCAAGCAAAAAGAGGAAAAAUGGCAACAGAUGUUAGCUCAGGGCCAAUCCUCCUCACCAAAAAAACUAAAAAUAAAAUAACCAAAAAAUAAAAAAAAAUCAGGACAUGGGGGCUGGCCCCUUGGCCAAGUGGUUAAAUUUUCAUGUUCCACUUUGGUGGCCCAGGGUUUUGCCAGUUCGGAUCCUGGGCGUGGACAUGGCACUGCUUAUCAAGCCAGGCUGAGGCGGCAUCCCACAUGCCACAACUAAAAGGACCCACAACUAAAAAUAUACAACUAUGUCCCUGGGGGCUUUGGGGAGAAAAAGGAAAAAUUAAGUCUUUGAAAAAAAAAUCAGGAUAGUAAAGCGAGCAUUCUUAAAUACUUGGAAUUAUUUAAAAAACAGAGGGGUAGAUUUAGUUUUUUAGUAUUAACAACACUAUAGUGAAGAAUGUUUGUUUCUAAAUGUUUACCAACUUCUUUAACUAUCACUAAAGAAUAAAGUCUUAGAAAAGAAAUUUUUAUGCUAGAAACCUCCUUCAAUAGAAAUCAAAAGGGAGUCCACACGUUUGGAAUUAGUCUGCUCCUUUGCAGGCUGCCAUCUGCGGAUGUCAAGAUGAUGGCCAUAUUCUCAGAAUGAGACUGCUCCUGUGCCUGACUCAAAGCCUCUUCUUAAGAGGGAGCCCCUGUGCUUGGGGAAGACUAUUCCUCCACAUAACUUUCUGCUUCCAUCAGCAGGAGUCAAGUGGGAGCCCUAGAACCGUCCAUGCUUCUGGCAAGAUCGCACACCCCUCUCCCAUUAAUGAAUCCUCUUUGCAAAGAUCCGCCUUGGCAUCAUCAAGAAUAAGUUCACUAUGCCCCUUAUGCUUGCCAUGUCAAUCGCUACAAGAAACCCAAGAAUCCUCAUCCCUAGACUGUGACUCCUAUUAUGCUCUGUAUAUCUUCUUUUCUGGCUCUAACUCCUUCCCCACCCUAUCUCCUAAAACCAAUUCACUGAAUUCUCUAGAUUUUGCAAGCAGUCAUCAGCAUAUUCUCCUUCACCUCAACCUCUUCUGAUGUUCCCUUCUCUUUCUUGCUUUAACUGAACCCUCGCUCAGUAUGGAGGGCAUUGUUCCUCAAAAAUAACUGUUUUUCUCCUACACCUCUUGUGCCACUCAAGUCCUCUUUGCUACUCACUGACACUUCUAAACUAAUCUUCCUCUCUCCUCCAUAAAAACACUCAGUUGCGUAUCAGGUGUUGUUCAAGUUUACCACUCAUUUCUCUUCCUUGUUGUAUUAUCCUCUGUACUUCUCCACCUCCAAUCUAUUGAAGAUUUUAGAUCCUGGCUCACUGUCAGUCUGUAUUAGUUAUCUAUUUCAGUGUAACAAAUUACCCCCAAAACUAGUGGCUUAAAGCAACAAACACUUACCAUCUCAUAGUAUCUGUGGGUCAAGAGUCUGAAUGCAGUUUAGUUGAGUGCUUCUGGUGCAAGGUCUCGUAGGACUGCUUCAUAACAUGGCAGCUGGCUUCCCCAAGGUGAGUGAUCGAAUGAGAGUGAGAGAGUGUGCACUUAAGACAGAAGCCACAGUCUUUUUGUAACCUAAUCCCAGAAGUGACAUCCCAUCAUUUUUUUCUGUGUUUUAUUUGUUAGAAGUGAGUCCAUAAGUCCAGCUUCACUCAGUGGGAGAGAUUACACAAGAGUGUGAAUACCAGGAGGCAGGGAUCAUUGGGGACCACCUUAGAGGCUGCCUACUACACUCUGUUCUCUGGCUCCCUAAUGAUUCCCAUCCCUCCAACAUGCAAAAUAUACUUUCCUCCCAACAGAUGUGUGAAGCAUACUGUCAAUCUCAUUAAAGGGACUUUUGGUGACUGAAUAGUACUCUGAAGCACCUCCUUUAAUCUUUCUGAGGUUUUAACAAAAGGUAUAACAGUCCUCAGCUUUAUCUUUAAACUACAUUUUCCUCUCAAUGUCCUGGACUUAAUCUUUUCUCAGAAGCCAAUUCUUAAUUUUAGCAUUACUUGCUAAAAUGAAGCUAAAAUGAGAGAGGCUGAGAAUUUUCAAAACCAUCAAGUCCUUGCUCCUUUUUGUUUAACAGUCCUUUCUUUAGUUUCUCUCUCUCCUCUCACAUUUACUAAGCAGAAUGAACAAACUAGCUAGCAUCUUCAACACUUUGCUUGGAAAUCUCCUUGGCUAGAUCACCCAGUUCAUUAGUCACAUUUUCUACUUUCCACAUAUAUGAAAAUAGUGUUGCUAAAAUUCCUGCCCCUACAUAACAAGUACCCCUUUUCCUUGAGUUUCCAAAAUAUUUUUCUUACUUUCCUGUAAGCCUUACCAGUAGCCUCCUCAGAGUCCAAAAUCCUAUGAAGUGUCUUCAAGGCUCUUUAAACUUUUGAAGCCAGGUACUUGAGGGGUGACUCAAGGGUCACAAGGAUUUAUGAGCUUGUUUUGCAGAAGAAAAAGAAUGCCUUCAAGGAAGUUAUGAUCACCAGAUGUCACCAGCUGCUGCUGACACCCAAAAGUCAGAUUGCCCAGGGGCUUAUUGGGAGUGAAAGAAACACAGAUUACCCCUUUGCUCCUCUGAAACUCCUGCUGCCAAGCCCCUUAGCUCUAUAGAAUACCCUGCUUUCCGUCUCUUGUGAAGGCAGAUUUGAGAGACCCUAUCUUCCUGCCUUCUCUUUUGGCCAAUUUGAAUAAACCUUUCUC